GGAAGGAUCAUUACUAAACCCAAUGAUAACAACAACCAUGUUGAAACGUGUGUGCGUGUUCGGUGACGAGAGCGAGCGGGCGGCCGCGGUGCGUGCGGGUGUGAGAUAGGUGGCGCGGUCACGCACGUGGCUGCGCGCCCAACCACCCCCUCGCGCUGCGCCGCUGCUUGUGCGUUUGCCGAGCACCACAAAUUAUAACCAUAUACCAUCUGAUGUGCCAAUGGACAGUUAUUUUUAUGGAUAAUAUAAAAGCAUAACUUUUAACAAUGGAUCUCUUGGCUCUUUGCAACGAUGAAGAACGCAGCUAACUGCGAAAAGUCAUGUGACAUGCAUUUUUUGCGAGUCAUGUAAUAUUUGAACGCACCUUGCGCCCGUGGGCUCACGUCCACGGGCAUACUUGUUUGAGUAUCGCAAACCUUCUCUCCCUCGGUGUGCGGCCACUUGGCGGCACCGCGGGGGCAUGUGAGCACUCUGCGCCGUACACGUGAUGUACGCGCAGUCGCUUGAAAGGCAGCGCGCAGCGUGCGCACACGGCAGCGCACCGGACUUGUGGGAUAAUCCACACGGCGGCCUCUCGGGGCCAGCCGCGCAAGGCCGGUGCCUGGGUGCGCAUGACGGCGACCGAUGGUGGCGAGGCAGCGCGGCGUUUACGCAGCGCGGUCUAUGCCACACGGGACGCGUGUGUUUUAACCGCACACCGUCCACUACCAUCGAUCUCAAAUCAAGUAGGAUAACCCGCUGAACUUAAGCAUAUCAGUAAGCGGAGGAAAAGAACUAACCAGGAUUCCCCUAGUAACGGCGAGUGAAGCGGGAAAUGCUCAAUGGAAAAUCUGGGCGUCGUCCGGCGCCCCGAGUUGUCAUUGAAAGAGCCGCGCCCCAGGGCGGCGUCCGCGGCCAAGUCCCCUGGAACGGGGCAUCAGAGAGGGUGAUAAUCCCGUCCGGCCGCCGACGCCAUCCGACAUGGCGCGUGCUCGACGAGUCGAGUUGUUUGGGAAUGCAGCUCAAAAUGGGUGGUACAUGCCAUCUAAAGCUAAAUAACGGCAAGAGACCGAUAGCGAACAAGUACCGUGAGGGAAAGAUGAAAAGCACUUUGAAAAGAGAGUGAAAAGUACGUGAAAUUGUUAAAAGGGAAACGAUUCGGGCCAGUGAUGCCCGUCGGGCGUCCCAGCGAUGGGAGUGCGCACGGCGGGUGCGUCAGGGGCCGUUCGGGCGGGCAGACAAGGCGCGCGGCAAGGUGGCUCUCGGCAAUUGCCGGGACGCUUUAUAGGCCGCGAUGUCCGGUGCGCACCUGGACGGCUGACACUGUGGAUGGGGCGUGCGAUGCGGGGCCGGUCCUCGUCGACCGGCACGGGUUGUGCGUCGCACCUCGCACACAUUGACGAAAUGGCCUCAAACGACCCGUCUUGAAACACGGACCAAGGAGUCUAACAACUAUGCGAGUUAUCGAGUGGCAAACUCGAGGGCGCAAAGAAAUUAAUGGUGCACCGUUCGCGGUCACUUGCGUGGGAUCACCGCCCCCGGGCGGUGUGCACCAUGAACCUGUGCUUGCGCAGGCAAGCAUGGGCGGAGCAUAGCUGUUGGGACCCGAAAGAUGGUGAACUAUGCCUGAAUAGGGCAAAGCCAGAGGAAACUCUGGUGGAGGCUCGUAGCGAUUCUGACGUGCAAAUCGAUCGUCAAAUUUGGGUAUAGGGGCGAAAGACUAAUCGAACCAUCUAGUAGCUGGUUCCUC
rnacentral:misc_RNA from 1 species